AUUGAACGCUGGCGGCAUGCUUUACACAUGCAAGUCGAACGGUAACAGGCCGCAAGGUGCUGACGAGUGGCGAACGGGUGAGUAAUGCAUCGGAACGUGCCCAGUCGUGGGGGAUAACGCAGCGAAAGCUGCGCUAAUACCGCAUACGAUCUGUGGAUGAAAGCGGGGGACCGUAAGGCCUCGCGCGAUUGGAGCGGCCGAUGUCAGAUUAGGUAGUUGGUGGGGUAAAGGCUCACCAAGCCGACGAUCUGUAGCUGGUCUGGGAGGACGACCAGCCACACUGUGACUUUGACACGGCCCAGACUCCUACGGGAGGCAGCAGUGGGGAAUUUGGGACAAUGGGGGCAACCCUGAUCCAGCAAUGCCGCGUGCAGGAAGAAGGCCUUCGGGUUGUAAACUGCUGUUGUACGGAACGAAACGGCUCUGGUUAAUACCUGGGGCUAAUGACGGUACCGUAAGAAUAAGCACCGGCUAACUACGUGCCAGCCGCCGCGGUAACAC
rnacentral:rRNA from 1 species